ACAAAGAUGCCAGAAAAUUUAUGGAUUUGAUUUAGGAUCAAUUUAUGGUUAAUUAAUUAAACCUCUUUGUU
rnacentral:tRNA from 1 species